rnacentral:rRNA from 1 species
AGAGUUUGAUCCUGGCUCAGGACGAACGCUGGCGGCGUGCCUAACACAUGCAAGUCGAGCGGGGAGAAGAAUUCGUUUUUCUCUUUAGCGGCGGACGGGUGAGUAACACGUGGGUAACCUGCCUCAAAGUGGGGGAUAGCCUUCCGAAAGGAAGAUUAAUACCGCAUAACAUCAAAGCACUGCAUGGUGCUUUGAUCAAAGGAGCAAUCCGCUUUGAGAUGGACCCGCGGCGCAUUAGCUAGUUGGUGAGGUAACGGCCCACCAAGGCGACGAUGCGUAGCCGACCUGAGAGGGUGAUCGGCCACAUUGGAACUGAGACACGGUCCAGACUCCUACG